UGAGGAAUAUUGGUCAAUGGGCGAGAGCCUGAACCAGCCAAGUAGCGUGCAGGACGACGGCCCUAUGGGUUGUAAACUGCUUUUAUAAGGGAAUAAAGUGAGUCUCGUGAGACUUUUUGCAUGUACCUUAUGAAUAAGGACCGGCUAAUUCCGUGCCAGCAGCCGCGGUAAUACGGAAGGUCCGGGCGUUAUCCGGAUUUAUUGGGUUUAAAGGGAGCGUAGGCCGGAGAUUAAGCGUGUUGUGAAAUGUAGUCGGCUCAACCUCUGCACUGCAGCGCGAACUGG
rnacentral:rRNA from 1 species